GACGAACGCUGGCGGCGUGCUUAACACAUGCAAGUCGAACGGACAGACAGAGAGCUUGCUCUCUUGAAGUUAGUGGCGAACGGGGGAGUAACGCGUAAUCAACCUGCCCUUCAGAGGGGGAUAACAACGGGAAACCGUUGCUAAUACCGCGUACGAAUCAUGAACGGCAUCGUUUAUGAAUGAAAGGUGGCCUCUAUGUACAAGCUAUCGUUGAAGGAGGGGAUUGCGUCUGAUUAGAUAGGUGGGGGGGUAACGGCCCACCAAGGCAAUGAUCAGUAGCCGGUCUGAGAGGAUGAACGGCCACAUUGGGACUGAGACACGGCCCAAACUCCUACGGGAGGCAGCAGUGGGGAAUCUUCCGCAAUGGACGAAAGUCUGACGGAGCAACGCCGCGUGAGUGAUGAAGGUCUUCGGAUUGUAAAGCUCUGUUAAUCGGGACGAAAGAGUUCUGCGUGAAUAAUGCAGAAAAGUGACGGUACCGGAAUAGAAAGCCACGGCUAACUACGUGCCAGCCGCCGCCGUAA
rnacentral:rRNA from 1 species